CAGAAUUGUAGACCCUGUUUACUUUGUUUGGAGGCUUACCUGCUGCAGUAAAUCCCAGUCUGUUAACCACCCACUGGAAAUAUGCAUGCUAACGAUCCCACUCAGCCUGAUUUAUUCUUAGUGAGACACCAAGGUGGGCAAACUGGGCUGGAGUCAGCUCACCAGCCCAAUUUCUGCAGAUUGGGUGUAGCCAAGGAGUCCUAGAAGGAAGAGGAGUAGCUUAUACUCAGUCCUGCAACAGAAGUGCAGGUACAAGAAAGGCACGCAUAUAGUUCCAGACAAAUUUUAACUUAUCCAGUUUAAUGUUGCUGAUGAUCUCUUCAGCAGUUCUCUCCCCAGUUAUUCUUUAGUCUGACUGAAUGGGCCUGUAAACAGCAAAUAACAACUCGUGAAACUAACGUGCGUUUGUCUGCUAGUCACCAGCUCUGCUCAUACUCUUUCUUGUUGAUUUCAGUUGCGUUUCUUCUAACAAAAAAAAUUCUCUGAAAAUUUUAGGAAUCAUAAAUCUCUUCAAACUCUCCAAGCAGAGCCUGCCAGAAAGUUGCUAUAACAGUUCAUGAUCAAAUACAUCCAUCAAAGAGAAGCAGCCCAGGAUGUAAUUUAUAUAUGUUUGCCUUCAGCCCAGACCUAUGCAUACUAAAUAGCCUA